UGGUCUCCCGAUCACAGAACCUGUUGUCUGUGGUAUUCAGCCACAGUGAGACAUGCCAACUAGAGAUCUAGGUGCAUAGCAGGUGGCGGGGUGCGGUUCUAAGGUCUCUGUCUGACCUAAACUGUUUGCUUGGAUCCUAGAUCUGGCCAGCCAGGAGAAGGAGCGGCUGGAGGAGAAGCAGAGAGAAGCGCGGAGGGAGCGGGCCAAGGAGGAGACGGAGUGGCAGACGAGGUGGUUCUACCCAGGCAAUAACCCCUACACUGGGACCCCCGACUGGUUGUACGCAGGGGAUUACUUUGAGCGGAAUUUCUCUGACUGCCCAGAUAUCUACUGAGGGCCUGGAGGGGCCUGGGGCCCGGGACCGGAGGCUGACGAGGCUGGACUUCCUCGAGUGGCCACUCUGAGCCUCGUCACAGCAGAAACCAACUUUUCUAACGACUGUGUUCGCGGAGAUAGCAUCAUCCCUGAUCAAGGAUGUAAUUCUAAUUAACUGUUGAUUGCCAAACAUUUCACUCUGCUGUGCCGUCUCUUCAUAAAGCUUCACUUGGGAUCAUCGUCUUC
rnacentral:sRNA from 1 species